ACUCUAUUAGAUGCUGAUAAUUGU
rnacentral:siRNA from 1 species